rnacentral:rRNA from 1 species
AUGCUUCAUUCUUUGCUGAGACUUGGAGGAGCUAUAUCGGGGCCAUCGCCGGGGAUCUUUUUUUGGUGUUUCUUCUAUUUAUCCAAGAGCAUUGACAAAUGUAGUUCUGUGGAAGAGGCUGAGGCUCAGGCGAUGCUAGAUGGAUUGACAGCUCUGACAUCUAUGUACAACAAUGUCUGUUUCCCAACUUCAUGCGACAUUAAGACCAGCUCUUCUUCUGUUCUUGUCCAAGUCCGGGCAGCAGAACCAGUAUACCAUCGCCCAUGCCCUUGGUGUGUGUGUGCCAGAACUAAAGAGAACAUACUCAAGAUUGCAGAUAUCCCAGCGGAGUUACAUGGGGCAGUUAAAUCUGAUUGUAAACAAGGUUCCCGAGUAGUUUCUACUCUGUAUCUAAAACAUGCAUCCGAUGGAAUUUUUUUUUUAAUAUUGUGA